UGCCUACGGGAGGCAGCAGUGGGGAAUUUUGCGCAAUGGGGGAAACCCUGACGCAGCAACGCCGCGUGCGGGACGAAGGCCCUCGGGUUGUAAACCGCUUUCAGCAGGGAAGAUCCAAGACGGUACCUGCAGAAGAAGCUCCGGCUAACUACGUGCCAGCAGCCGCGGUAAUACGUAGGGGGCGAGCGUUAUCCGGAUUCAUUGGGCGUAAAGCGCGCGUAGGCGGCCGCCUAAGCGGGACCUCUAACCCCGGGGCUCAACCCCGGGCCGGGUCCCGGACUGGGCGGCUCGAGUGCGGUAGAGGG
rnacentral:rRNA from 1 species